AUGAUCAGUAAUAAGACACUGUUUCAAUUGAAACUGAGUUGGUAUUUUGGUGAUUUAUCAGGCCUGAAGAGACCAAAGUGUUUCUCAGUUUCUGCACCACCCUUCUGGUUUUCAUCAAACAUGGCAAAGAGGUAAGUCUCUAUGGGUCCAUUAGGCCUCUUUGGGGUGCCACCCUUAACAUGUUUGAUCAAAUUCCUGUAAUACGUUCCUGCGUUUUGAACAGUGGCUCCAACUCCACCUUGUGAUGGCCACCCACUCUCAGACACAACAACCUUCACAUUUGAUGCUCCCACUUUCUCAAGAGCUGCGUACAGAGAAUCCAC
rnacentral:lncRNA from 1 species